AUGCGAGAGGGUAGACUAGGACGCUGCAGCUCUGAAAAAAAAAAAAAAAAAAAAAAAAAAGAAAGAGGGGAAAAACGCUCUGCUGCUAUUUCUACAGGCGGGCCCUCCCCUUUAGCUAGUCUGUGCCAAAAGAGGGAGGGAUUUUUUACUACUCCCAGUCCCAGGAUUUUAACCCUCUGCCUACUCUCGCUUCUCUCUGCAAGAUCUGCUCCUCAAUAUCAUGCAACAAGUGGCUUUGCUUUACUCCUGCUUCGACAUCUCUGCGCCAUUUGCGAAGACGUUUUUCGGGACCCCUGUUUUCUUCACUCCGCGGCCAUUGAUCACCUGCAUUUGAGAGGAUAUGUGGACAUACUGUGUGCAGCUACCGAAGGAUCCAGCACAAUGAACGGCGGAGAUUUCGCCGCUUUACCCCAGAUAGCUGAUGGCUGUGGUGUGUGUGUGCCAGCUGCCUCAAAGACUCAGUGGGCUCAUUAUUUGGGAAUGACUUUAUUUUUCCCGGUCAGACCUCAAUAUCAAGAACAAGGAAACCCGAGACGAGACGAGCUGACAGAGCUGAGGCCGCCGCUGCAGGGAGGAGGUGACCUGUCAAGCGCAAGUGACAUACAGGAAGUAUUUUGACGGCAUUCUUUGAUUUGCAACAAUUAAGGCAUGGAGAAAUCAUAUCUCAGUUUGUAAAUACAUGGUUGAAUACACCGUUCACUCUGCUGUGCUCCCACAUCAACUUGGCGUUCCUGCAGUUUUCUGAACUGACUUUUACAACAGUUGAAAGUUUGUCAAAAUGAAACUGAAGUUUCAGAGAAUUAGGUGGCCAUGAUUUUAACAGAGUGUAUAUAUAUAUAUAUAUAUAUAUAUAUGUAUAAAUUCAUAAAUUACUUUUUAAUUUCUCCAGUUACUUUAUGAAUAAAAUAUCUACUUAGAGUACAGUCAUAGCAGUAAUACAGUAUUAAUAUAUGAGCAUGGACGUUCAGGCUCCACAUACCAACUCUUUUCCGACCUUUUAACUUCAUCUCACGGCUUUGAUCAGUGAAUGUGUGUUUGAUUUUUCAGUUCUCAGAAAACAGUAGGUAGCCAGGAUUGUUUUAUUACAUUGAAGAGUGUUAGAAUAUUUACACACAUCAUAGAUCAUAACCCAUUUAUAAACGCACACUUAGCAGCUUUUUGGUAGUUUUGUUUCCCGUGUCUUUUCCUUGUUUCCUCAAGGCUGUUUGUCACGUCGAGCUUCUGUUCCACUCAGGUCCACUGUCAACCACGUGGCACAAGAGACCCCUGCGAGAGAUGAACUGUCCUUUGGGGUGAGGUAGUAGGUUGUAUAGUUUUAGGGUCAUUCCCAAGCUGUCAGAUGACUAUACAACUUACUGUCUUUCCUGAAGCGACUGUGCUGGCAUCAUGAUCGUCGUCGUCACAAAAGGAAAAUACGACUUCACUGGAAAAUGUUUGUUUUCUUUUCUCCUUUAAAUUUGUUCCUUACUCAAAAUUGCAUUGAUCAACAACCAAUAUAACUCUUGUUGAUUCCCUUUGUUAAAGUUAGAUGGAAAGGAGGUAACACUGAGGAGGAGCUAGUAAGUUAGAAAGCAGUGUCAGAAAUUAGCUUAAAAUUUGUGCGAGUAAGCUAUCCAUUUUAAUUACCCGACGUUCAUUAGUGUGUAUUUCUGAAAUAUAGACUGUUUGGAUUGUUUGGAAUAUUAAACAGAACUUUUGAGCUUUUUUGCCUACUAAAGUGUUAAUUAAGUAGUCUCUUACUUCAAUUGUACUUAUUAUAAUUGCAAAUGCUUUAACAACACGCCUCCAUUAGCUACUUUUUCUUGUACAGAAAUGCAAGAUUUUAACUCUUGAUGUUAUAAAACUUGCUGUAUUCUCUGUAAGAUCAGCGGAGUAGCUCUGUCUUUGUUUAUACAGUGAUCACAUGUGACCUCUUCACAAACCUUCACAUCCCGAUCCUCCUCCUACCCACCUGGGUGACUUAUGGUGUUCGCACAGGGUGAGGUAGUAGGUUGUGUGGUUUCAGGGUUGUGAUUUUACCCCAUCAGGAGCUAACUAUACAACCUACUGCCUUCCCUGGAGGGCAGCAAUACAUCACAGGAGCGCACAUGUUCUUGUCACCUUUCUGCUUAGGAAAACACUGACUGAUCUCAUGACUCUCGUUUACAAAGCUCAACAGAAGACUUGCGUUUGAUUUGAAAGGUUGCGCUGAAUCGGUGAGUGCUGCUGAGUCACAACAUGCAUUUGUUAGCAACAUUAAUAAUCACCCAACAGAUAUGUAACUGGUGCAAAAAUAAUCAGAAAAUGCUGUUUUUCUAAGCAGCAUUCAUGAUUUACCUUUGUAUUUUUUCAUCAAUAAAUAUUGGAUAAGAAAUCAUUGCAGAACAA